rnacentral:rRNA from 1 species
GACGAACGCUGGCGGCGUGCCUAAUACAUGCAAGUCGAACGGUCUUUUCUAUGGAAGCUUGCUUCCACUGGGAAGAUAGUGGCGAACGGGUGAGUAACACGUGGGUAACCUGCCCAUAAGAGGGGGAUAACAUCCGGAAACGGGUGCUAAUACCGCAUAGUUUUUUUGAUCGCAUGAUCGGGAAAGGAAAGACGGCCUUUGUGCUGUCGCUUAUGGAUGGACCCGCGGCGUAUUAGUUAGUUGGGGAGGUAACGGCUCACCAAGACGAUGAUACGUAGCCGACCUGAGAGGGUGAUCGGCCACAUUGGGACUGAGACACGGCCCAAACUCCUACGGGAGGCAGCAGUAGGGAAUCUUCCGCAAUGGACGAAAGUCUGACGGAGCAACGCCGCGUGAGUGAAGAAGGUUUUCGGAUCGUAAAACUCUGUUGUCAGAGAAGAACAAGUCGGAGAGUAACUGCUCCGGCCUUGACGGUAUCUGACCAGAAAGCCACGGCUAACUACGUGCCAGCAGCCGCGGUAAUACGUAGGUGGCAAGCGUUGUCCGGAUUUAUUGGGCGUAAAGCGAGCGCAGGCGGUUCCUUAAGUCUGAUGUGAAAGCCCACGGCUCAACCGUGGAAGGUC